rnacentral:rRNA from 1 species
CCUACGGGAGGCAGCAGUGGGGAAUAUUGCACAAUGGAGGGAACUCUGAUGCAGCGACGCCGCGUGAGUGAAGAAGGUCUUCGGAUCGUAAAACUCUGUCCUUGGUGACGAAAAAAAUGACGGUAGCCAAGGAGGAAGCCCCGGCUAACUACGUGCCAGCAGCCGCGGUAAAACGUAGGGGGCGAGCGUUGUCCGGAAUUACUGGGCGUAAAGGGCUCGUAGGCGGUAACUCAAGUCAGUUGUGAAAACCGACGGCUUAACCGGAGGAUUGCAGUUGAUACUGGGUUACUUGAGGCGAGGAGAGGAAGGUGGAAUUCCCGGUGUAGCGGUGAUAUGCGUAGAUAUCGGGAGGAACCCCAGUGGCGAAGGCGGCCUUCUGGUCUUGACCUGACGCUGAGACACGAAAGCGUGGGGAGCAAACAGGAUUAGAUACCCCUGUAGUCAC